AUUGAACGCUGGCGGCAGGCCUAACACAUGCAAGUCGAGCGGGUGAAGGGAGCUUGCUCCUGGAUUCAGCGGCGGACGGGUGAGUAAUUCCUAGGAAUCUGCCUGGUCGUGGGGGCUAACGUCCGGAAACGGGCGCUAAUACCGCAUACGUCCUGAGGGAGAAAGUGGGGGAUCUUCGUACCUCACGCUAUCAGAUGGGCCUAGGUCGGAUUAGCUAGUUGGUGGGGUAAAGGCCUACCAAGGCGACGAUCCGUAACUGGUCUGAGAGGAUGAUCAGUCACACUGGAACUGAGACACGGUCCAGACUCCUACGGGAGGCAGCAGUGGGGAAUAUUGGACAAUGGGCGAAAGCCUGAUCCAGCCAUGCCGCGUGUGUGAAGAAGGUCUUCGGAUUGUAAAGCACUUUAAGUUGGGAGGAAGGGCAGUAAGUUAAUACCUUGCUGUUUUGACGUUACCAACAGAAUAAGCACCGGCUAACUUCGUG
rnacentral:rRNA from 1 species